rnacentral:rRNA from 1 species
GAUGAACGCUGGCGGCGUGCCUAAUACAUGCAAGUCGAGCGAACAGACGAGGAGCUUGCUCCUCUGACGUUAGCGGCGGACGGGUGAGUAACACGUGGAUAACCUACCUAUAAGACUGGGAUAACUUCGGGAAACCGGAGCUAAUACCGGAUAAUAUAUUGAACCACAUGGUUCAAUAGUAAAAGACGGUUUUGCUGUAACUUAUAGAUGGAUCCGCGCCGCAUUAGCUAGUUGGUAAGGUAACAGCUUACCAAGGCAACGAUGCGUAGCCGACCUGAGAGGGUGAUCGGCCACACUGGAACUUAGACACGGUCCAGACUCCUACGGGAGGCAGCAGUAGGGAAUCUUCCGCAAUGGGCGAAAGCCUGGCGGAGCAACGCCGCGUGAGUGAUGAAGGUCUUCGGAUCGUAAAACUCUGUUAUUAGGGAAGAACAAAUGUGUAAGUAACUAUGCACGUCUUGACGGUACCUAAUCAGAAAGCCACGGCUAACUACGUG